AUGCCUCUCCCUUUAGAGCAGGCGUCCCCAAACUAUGGCCCCGCGGGCCGCAUGCGGCCCCCCGAGGCCAUUUAUCCGCUCCCCCCGCCCCCCGCCGCACUUCAGGAAGGGGAUGCCAGCCAGGCCAGGGAUGCCCAGGACUGGAAGAAGCACAGGGGCCGGACCACAUCACAGGCUGCUCAGGAGGCUGCCCCACCGGGGGCUCUGCUGAAGGCUGCAGCCUCUCUGCUGAGAGUCAACCACUGGGCCCAAGACGACCUGGGCAUUUCCCUCUGUGGUCCCCGGAGGGACCGUGAAACCAGGCCAGGACGCAAGGCUGAGGGCCAGAGCAGUGUCUGUCUGCAGGGGCCUGUUGGGACUGCUGGAGGAAACCUGAGGCUCAGAGCAAGCGAACAUCUCACCCAGGGCCACCAACAAGAGCUCGGGGAUUGGAACCUAGGAGAUGCUUCCCUUCUCUUCUCCAGGGGUCCUUUUGGGGCAGGCAUGUUGUUCAAGCUCCAGCGCAUGUCUUCAGACCAUGCUGGGUCCAAGGAAAUGCAUGGAUCUCCUCCGUUACAAAGUUUGACUCCAAAAGAAGCCUGGAAGUGGCUUCCAGCUCCUCCUACCUGACUGUGCCCUGUCCUUCACUACUUCCUGUCUCCCCGUGAUCCAGCGGCAGACGCAUCUGCGGGUGCUGCUGCUUGGGAAAGUCCACCUGGGGGAAGGCAUGCCAACCUCUCCUCUCACAUCGUCUGGGAGUUCUUUCCCCACCCAAACUCGGCCUGGAGGGCCUAGUGAAGCUUCGCCCUGGGCUCCAACUUGCCUGCCCCAGACUUCUUGGAUGGACGUUGUCAAUCCGGUCGUAUCGAGAGUGAAGCUGCCACCUAGUGGUCACUGGAGGUGUGCCUGCCUUUUCAUGAGCGUCACUGGAAAUAUCAGUGUUGAUGGCUUUCUUCUAGACUGA